CCUACGGGAGGCAGCAGUGGGGAAUCUUGCACAAUGGGCGAAAGCCUGAUGCAGCAACGCCGCGUGCGGGAAGAAGGCCCUAGGGUUGUAAACCGCUUUCAGUAGGGAAGAAAAUGACGGUACCUACAGAAGAAGGUGCGGCCAACUACGUGCCAGCAGCCGCGGUGACACGUAGGCACCAAGCGUUAUCCGGAUUUAUUGGGCGUAAAGAGCUCGUAGGCGGUUCGGUAAGUCGGGUGUGAAAACUCUGGGCUCAACCCAGAGAGGCCACCCGAUACUGCUGUGACUAGAGUGCGGUAGGGGAGCGGGGAAUUCCUGGUGUAGCGGUGAAAUGCGCAGAUAUCAGGAGGAACACCAGCGGCGAAGGCGCCGCUCUGGGCCGUAACUGACGCUGAGGAGCGAAAGCAUGGGUAGCAAACAGGAUUAGAUACCCUGGUAGUCCAUGCCGUAAACGUUGGGCACUAGGUGUGGGUCUCAACCAACGAGAUCCGCGCCGUCGCUAACGCAUUAAGUGCCCCGCCUGGGGAGUACGGUCGCAAGCUAAAACUCAAAGGAAUUGACGG
rnacentral:rRNA from 1 species